rnacentral:rRNA from 1 species
AGUGAACGCUGGCGGUAGGCCUAACACAUGCAAGUCGAACGGCAGCACAGUAAGAGCUUGCUCUUACGGGUGGCGAGUGGCGGACGGGUGAGGAAUACAUCGGAAUCUACUUUUUCGUGGGGGAUAACGUAGGGAAACUUACGCUAAUACCGCAUACGACCUACGGGUGAAAGCAGGGGAUCUUCGGACCUUGCGCGAUUGAAUGAGCCGAUGUCGGAUUAGCUAGUUGGCGGGGUAAAGGCCCACCAAGGCGACGAUCCGUAGCUGGUCUGAGAGGAUGAUCAGAGACACUGGAACUGAGACACGGUCCAGACUCCUACGGGAGGAAGCAGUGGGGAAUAUUGGACAAUGGGCGCAAGCCUGAUCCAGCAAUACCGCGUGGGUGAAGAAGGCCUUCGGGUUGGAAAGCCCUGUUGUUGGGAAAGAAAAGAAGCAGGUUAAUACCCCGCUGUUCUGACGGUACCCAAAGAAUAAGCACCGGCUAACUUCGUG